rnacentral:rRNA from 1 species
GACGAACGCUGGCGGCGCGCUUAAUACAUGCAAGUCGAGCGAGAACCAGAGCUUCGGCUCUGGGGACAGCGGCGAACGGGUGAGUAGCACGUGAGUAAUCUGCCCUCGGCACCGGGAUAGCCCGGGGAAACCCGGAUUAAUACCGGAUGGCCUCUCGAGCUUUCGGGCUCGUGAGAAAAGGUAGCUUCGGCCUCCGGCCGAGGAGGAGCUCGCGGCGGAUUAGCUUGUUGGUGGGGUAACGGCUCACCAAGGCGACGAUCCGUAGCUGGUCUGAGAGGACGAUCAGCCACACUGGGACUGAGACACGGCCCAGACUCCUACGGGAGGCAGCAGUAGGGAAUCUUGCGCAAUGGGCGAAAGCCUGACGCAGCGACGCCGCGUGCGGGAAGAAGGCCUUCGGGUUGUAAACCGCUUUCAGGAGGGACGAAGCCACUCGGGUUAAUAGCCCAGAGGGUGACGGUACCUCCAGAAGAAGCCCCGGCUAACUACGUGC